GCAUCCAAACCAGAAACAAAGCACACAUGGCGGCCGCAACAACGCCUCUGACCUCCAGAGGGCAGAGGUCGUCUGGACGUUCAGAGGUCGUCUGGACGUUCAGAGGUCGUCUGUGACCUUCAAAGGUCGUCUGGACGUUCAGAGGUCGUCUGGACGUUCAGAGGUCGUCUGUGACCUUCAGAGGUCGUUUGGACGGUCACACGCUCCGUGGAGACGGGGAUGUUCUUGGAAAAACGUGCGUGUUUGUGUUUUUCUGCGAUUUCGUCUGUCUGGUGGGGUUUGUUCCUCAUGCAGUUGGUGGUUUUUAUCGUUCUGUAAAAUUUGAUCCGUUUCGUCAUGGAGGUGUCGUCUGACUCUUUGUUCACUUUUCAGGAGAAAACUGAAAGUUACUGACUGAUAAAAGCAAUGUACAGAUUUUAUUCAACGUUCCCGGGAACGCUGGGUUUAUCCAAAAGUUGUCAUGUGAUUUAUUUAAUAGCCAUAGCCUAAAGGUCAGGGGUCAGCAUGUGUGGAUGUCUGUUGUCAGGCUGCAUUUCAAUGUAAACCUUGAUGAUAAACGGAGAGCAGAAGAAACCAGCUGGGAUAUUUCUGAAGCUUCUUAGUUUUUCAUGUUUAUUUCUUUGGGAUUUUUGAUUUCUUUUAAUCUGAGAUUAAAAACACACACAGGCUCUUGAUUGGUCCAGUUUCUGACCCGGUUCUGGUGUUUUAAAACUGGACAAAUGAGAAACGUCCUGCUUCAUUAAAGCCUCAUGAGGGAUGUGCAGCAGAUAGGAUCCAACAGAGACAUCCUGCUCAUCCUGUGUCUCUGACGUCCAACAGAAACUCAUUCCCCUGUCAGUCAGGACAGCUGCUGACCUUCCCAGUAAGGUCAUCCUGAAAUCGGACGAUAAAUGUGCAAACCACAAAAAACCCGUCUGAGGUUCUGCUCAGCCAAUCAGAGAAAACAUUUGGGCCAAUCGGAGGGUCUUGAUGGACACAUCCUACCGACUGUCAAGCACGGUGGUGGAGGAAUGAUGCUCUGGGUACCAAACACAAAGGUUUCUUUGUUCUGAUGCUAAAACCAGAGGAACUGAAACAGAACAUUACUUUUUCAACAAAGCUUCAGCUCUUGCAUUUUCUGGGGAAACUAACCUCAAAUCAACUUUUAUUUUUUUUCCCUCAACUGGUCCUGAAAGUUUUUUAUAUUUGGGUGUCUAAAUUUUUUUGAUUUGCCAAGAGUAAGAAAUGAAUUCAGUUCUGAUGACCUUUUUAUGUCAAAAGGUCCUGAACCCUGAAUAAAUAAUUGCAUGUAAAGCCGUGUGGCUGAUAGAAGCUCUGACCCACUAAUGAGCCGUGAUGCAUUAUGUUGCUGCAUUAGGCUAACAACUCCUGCAGGGUCCCUGAACGCAUCGUUCCUGAACGCAUCAUUCCUGAACGCGUCGUUCCUGAACGCAUUGUCCCUGAACGCAUCGUUCCUGAACGCAUCGUUCCUGAAUGCAUCAUUCCUGAACGCAUCGUCCCUGAACGCAUCGUUCCUGAACGCGUCGUUCCUGAACGCGUCGUUUCUGAAACGCUUCCACCUUUUGAUGCAGCUGAAGUUAGUCAUGUAUCUGAAUGUCUGACCUCAGUAAACAUCCCCAGGAAUUAACUUCACUGGUUCACACAACCUUCAAUAUAUUGAAAACUUCAUCUGACCUUUGACCCCAGUCUUGUCUUAGAUUGGUUAUUCUGGGCUGAGUCAACACUUCAGCUGCAGAAAAACGUUCAGGGAAUUUUUCUGGAGUCAGAUUAACGUUUGACUGCAGUUGAUCUUGAUGUCAGAAAGUUGCGGUUUUAGAUGCGACAGCAGGAAAAGCUGCUCCUGAACCGGCCUUUCAGCGAGCCAAAGACUGUCAACACCUUUCUUCACCUAAUUUAAAAGUCUAAAUGUUUCAGCUGCUUGACAUUUGCUUGGCUUCAGCUUAGUUUGCUCUCUUACUGCAGAAUAUAAAAGAUAAUAAUCAUAAAGUCCCACAGCAGCUGCAGCAGCUGCAGCAGCAGCUGCAGCAGCACCUUGCUAAACGUCUCACACCCCUGAACAGUUUCACAUUUUAGCUUCUUCAUGUUUUACUGGGACUUUAUGAAAACAAAGUAGUCCAAAUUUUCAAGGAAGAUUUUAUGUUUUUCUCAUUGACUUAGAUCUGAAAAGUGUGGCAUGCCAGUGUAAAGAGCACCAGUGAGUGCAGGUGAAGCUCAGGUUUUCUUCCUGUUUUAGCUCCAUCUGUCCUCACAGCAUGAUGCUGCCACCACCAUGCCAACCACAGGCGACAUGAGGAAUGCUAGUUUUUCCCACACAUGAAGCGUAAAAUGUUGACAAAAGGAGUUUCUUCUUUGUCUGCUUUCCUUACCUGGCAAAUAAUGGUUGACAUGGCAACUUCUCCCAGUGCUGCACUACUUUCUGCUGGCCAUGAAAUCCUGAAACGCCGCCUGAGGUCUGUGGGAACAUAAUGUGACAGUCAGGAGGUGUGAGAACUUUUUGCAGAGCUUUGUGAAUAAACGCAUGAUUUCUGUUGCACUUCAUCUCUGUAAGCUUUUUCUCAUUUUUAUGAUGUUUAAAACCCAGAAAUAAUUUCAUUUUUUUCCCCUUUUUGUCAUUGAACGUUUUGUUAAAGAUGAAGGAAGAAAAUCUGUUGUAUUCUGAAGGAACGACCAAUAAGCUCCAUCUGCAGGUACAACAAGUUUAUCAGACAUUCUGCAGCUGCUGGCCGUGAAUCUGCACUUUAGCACAAACGAUGACGGAUGUUCAGCUGUAAAGUUUUAGCUCAGUGGGUCGGAUUGUGUAACAUAUGAAUGCAGCAAAACUACAAGAAAUUUUCUAUUAUCCUGCACAUAUAUGCUAAUAAACAUGGAUUAGGGAAUAUUUGUACACACUAUAUCUAAAGAUCUUAAAUGUUAAUAUAUUUCAGAGUAUGUGUAUGCUAAUAUGUGGUUAAUAUGAAUAAAUCGUUUUUUCACUUGAGAA